rnacentral:rRNA from 1 species
UCGCUACUACCGAUUGAAUGGCUUAGUGAGCUCGAGGGACUGUUGCACGUUGAGGGUUUUCUCUUGAUGAGCAGCCGGGAACUCGAUCAAACUUGAUCAUUUAGAGGAAGUAA